rnacentral:tRNA from 1 species
GGGCUUAUAGCUCAGCCGGUUAGAGCGCACGCCUGAUAAGCGUGAGGUCGGUGGUUCG